GGGCUCAGAUCCAGCCUCUACAAGGGAAGCUCUCAGCUUGCACUGCAGCUUUUUUAGGUGGGGUCGCUCCACGUUGAGACGCCAGGUCACCGUCUCUGCACCUGAGGCUGAUGUGGAGUAUUUCCUGCGUGGCAAAGGGUUCUUCUUGCACCUCUGCGGCUCCAUUUUUCCAUAGAGCUAUAUCUCAUGGGGCUGUCCGGUUUCUAUGGGGCUGUGGGGUGAAAGUCCACAGCUGCACAGGUUGAGCCAUUGCCGGCUUUGGCCACGUGCUGCCUGGAUGCGCUCCUGCCCCACUGACCUCACCCUCACCCCAGCAUGGCACAAGCAUCAGGACACAGGGAGAGAGUCUGAUCCAACUGAAACGUACUCUCCCUGGAAAUCUCCGAGCCAGAUCUCUAUCAUCUUCUGGAUGAUACUCUGACUUUUCAUCAAAGGGCACAACACCCCAUCAGAUGUCAGCAACUGGGGAUUUUGACCAGACUGUGCCAUGGUUGCUGCUGGGACUGACACCGGAGGGUCCUGGCUAGAGGGUCUUGUCGCUCGGCUCAGGGUCAAACCAACACUGCAUUGGGGUCAGACACACCAACUGCUGAAGCUUCCUUAGCCUGACGAAGGGUUUUUGAACCCGAAAGCUUGUUUAAUAACUAUUCUCCAACCAUUUGGGUUGGUCUAAUAAAAGAUAUCAAAUUCACCCAA